GUGCACUGUUAUCUUCAUCGUUCCCUACUCUCCAAUUUGUCUCUUUUAUACUCUUCUUCCUUCUUCAAAAAACUAGCCGCGAUAGUGUUUCGUUUUGCCAAAUCCAACUUGGUUGCUCGUGAGGAUUUGCAAAUCUUUUCAAAGGUAAAUCAUUUCUAACCUCAGGAUUUUAUCUCUCAACUAAUAUUUUUUCUACCUUUUUCUUUUGCCCUAUUUAGCUUUUCAAAAUUGAUUUUCACUUUUCCUAUUUCUCACGCCCUAAAUCACUUCAAUAGUUAAGUCUUAGUAAGUUGUUUGUUUUUCUGAACAAAUUAUGGUGCAUUUUCGUUUUUCAUUCACAUUUCUACUCAUAGAUGCAUUUCUGUUCUAGAACAAUGGUGCGUUUCUGGUUCAUAAUAGUGGUGCGUUUUUGUUCCAGAACUACAUUUUUUGUUCUGAAACUGUUAAGUAAAAACAGAGUAUUGCAAAAUAAAGUGCAGAAAUAGAAAUAGAGGAUGCGCAGAAAAACCCUAACUCCUUCAUAGUGCCGUUGGAGGAAAUCUCGGAAGCAUGGGUGAAGUGGAGACAGUUUCCAAGUUGAAAAUCAAACGUUACCCUUUCAACCUUGGAUCGUGGCCGCACGAAUCGGAAGUUGGGCGCCUCCGCACUGUUGGAUUUUUGAACGUUGUAGAUCGUUACGAGAGGAGUGGGAGGUUGACUCCUUCCUUCACGCUGGCCUUCCCUCUUCUGCGGCGACAACCUUGAACCCACUAGGGUUUGAAGAGGCGCCACCCUUGGGGGUUCUCCAUCUAUAAAUACCGUUUUCCCCUCUUCAGAAAACGCAACUCUCACUACUUCAUCUUCUUCCUCCGCUCACCAUCUUCUUCUUUCCCCAAUUUCCACUUUUCACUUUCUCUCUCCUCUUUAUUUUAAUAUUAUAAUAUUUUUGGGUUCUAUUUGGUAUUACUCUUUUAAAGAGAAACUUGCUAGUUCUGAUCCUCGGAAAUUACCGGGAAGUUCCUGUUGUAUCCUGGGGGACUUGCGCAAUACAUCGCGGAUAAGUCCUUACGGACAGUGAUUACUCACCCCUCGGGAAACUAUUUUUUGUUCGUUUUAAAGCCUGAAUAUCUACAAUCGUAAGGACUUAUGGCUGAAAAUCCGAACAACAACGACAACACUGCUCCGGAAACAUCAAAUGUUGUUUCCGCAACGCAAACCAUUUUUGCGAAACCAUUUCUGGACGUCUCCAAAAUUGAAGUCUUCACCGGUCAGAACUUCCGACGUUGGCAAGAACGCGUGUCCACCCUAUUGGACAUGUACGGAGUUGCUCAUGCACUUACAACUGCCAAACCUGACUCAACCACGGCUGCGAAACAAGUUGACGACUGGAUCCAUGCGAAUAAGGUAUGCNNNNNNNNNNNNNNNNNNNNNNNNNNNNNNNNNNNNNNNNNNNNNNNNNNNNNNNNNNNNNNNNNNNNNNNNNNNNNNNNNNNNNNNNNNNNNNNNNNNNACUUUACUCAGUGUGUUAUCUAACGAUCUGUUCGAUGUUUAUGCUUCUUAUAAGAAUGCGAAAGAUAUUUGGGAUUCUCUUAUCCUCAAAUAUACUGCCGAAGACAUCGUCAAACAAAGGUUCGUAAUUGCAAAAUACUACCGCUGGGAGAUGAUCGAAGGCAAAGACAUCAAAAUCCAAAUAAACGAAUAUCACAAGCUGAUUGAAGAUAUCAAAACUGAAAGCAUAAAAUUGCUAGAUGAAUUCGUGUCCGAACUCUUGAUCGAAAAGCUUCCGCAGUCUUGGACGGAUUACAAACAACAACUGAAGCACAAACAUAAACAGAUGUCUCUAUCAGAUUUGAUCACCCACAUCAUCAUUGAAGACACAAACAGGAAGGAGUGCGCUGCUGCAAAGGCCAAAGCUUUGUCUGCCAAAGCAAACGUGAUAGAAGACAAACCAGCUCCAAAAAGGUACGAGAAAAAAUUUGAUCACAAAAAGAAACCUAAUAACAAAUUUUCUCGUCCCAGUGGAACUAACCCCACUUUCAAGAAAAAAAGGAAAUUGCUUUGUCUGUGGAAAGCCAGGCCAUCAUGCACCUCAGUGCAGACAUAGGGCUAAAAACGACUAUCCUCCUAAGGCAAAUCUAGCCGAUGGGGAAGAUACUAUUGUGGCAGUCGUUUCACAAGUAAACCUUGUGACAAAUGUGAGCAAAUGGGUGGUAGACUCUGGGGCUACCAGACACAUCUGUGCAAACAAAAAUGUGUUCACCUCCUACACAAGUGUGGGGGAUGGAGAAGAACAAGUAUAUCUCGGUGACUCCAGGACAACUCCUGUCCUAGGAAAAGGAAAAGUUCUUCUGAAGCUCACAUCUGGUAAAACUCUAGCUUUGAAUGAUGUGCUACAUGUGCCAUCAAUUAGAGUUAAUUUGGUCUCUAUGGCAUUACUAAGCAAAGUUGGGGUUAAAGUGUCAUUUGAAUCUGACAAGAUUGUUAUGACAAAAAACAAUGUUUUUGUGGGAAAGGGAUAUUGUGAUCAAGGCCUUUUUGUAUUAAACAUUUCUGAAAUUAUGAAUGAAUCUAAAUCUUAUGCUUAUAUAGUUGACUCGUAUGAUAUAUGGCAUGCUAGAUUAGGACAUGUGAAUUCUUCGUAUGUUAUAAAAUUGCAACGACUAAGAUUAAUCAACAUGCAUGACAAACAAAGUAGUAAAUGUGAUGUAUGCGUAGAAUCUAAAAUAACGAAGAAAACAUGUCACUCUGUAGAACGUCAAACUGAAAUUCUUGGUUUAAUUCAUACCGACCUUNNNNNNNNNNNNNNNNNNNNNNNNNNNNNNNNNNNNNNNNNNNNNNNNNNNNNNNNNNNNNNNNNNNNNNNNNNNNNNNNNNNNNNNNNNNNNNNNNNNNACCAUUUUUAGAGGUGGUAAAAAUUAUUUUGUAACCUUUAUAGAUGAUUUUUCUAGAUACACCAAAGUUUAUUUAAUUAAACAUAAGGAUGAAGCUUUUGACAUGUUUUUAACUUAUAAAGCGGAAGUAGAAAAUCAACUUAAUAAGAAAAUUAAGAGAAUUAGAUCAGAUAGAGGUGGUGAAUAUGUUUUAUUUAAUGACUAUUGUGUAAAAGAAGGUAUUAUUCAUGAAGUAACCCCACCAUAUUCACCUGAGUCUAAUGGAGUAGCUGAAAGGAAAAAUAGGACUCUUAAAGAAAUGAUGAAUGCCAUGCUUAUUAGUUCUGAUGCUCCUGAUAAUUUAAUGGGUGAAUCUCUGCUUACUGCGUGUUUUUUACAAAAUAGGAUACCACAUAGGAAAACUGGUAAAACACCCUAUGAGUUGUGGAAAGGUUAUCAACCUAAUUUGAAAUACCUAAGAGUGUGGGGGAGUUUAGCUAAAGUGAUGUUACCUGAUCCUAAGAAAAGGAAAAUAGGCUCUAAAACAUCUGAUUGUAUGUUCUUAGGAUAUGCAGAACAUAGUGCUGCCUAUAGGUUUCUAGUUCUUAAUAGUGAUAUAAUUGAACGCAACACUAUAGUAGAGACAAAAAAUGCUGAGUUCUUUGAACACAUCUUUCCUCUAAAGAGUAGUGGUACAUCUGAACAACCUAUAGAUAGUGCUAAUGAUACCUUGAGUGAGGAUGUUAGGAGAAGUAAAAGACAGAGAAAGGAAACAUCUUUUGGAGAUGACUUUUAUACUUAUCUAGUUGAGAAUGAUCCAAUAAGUUUUGUAGAAGCUACUAGUGCUCCUGAUGCUAAACAUUGGGAUAAGGCCAUUAAAACUGAGCUUGAAUCAAUUAAGAAAAAUAAUACGUGGACCUUAGUAGAUCUGCAUGAAGGAGCAAAACCUAUUGGUUGUAAGUGGAUCUUUAAGAAGAAGUACCAUCCUGAUGGAUCCAUAGAGAAAUAUAAGGCAAGAUUAGUUGCUAAAGGGUUUACUCAAAAACAUAACAUAGAUUACUUUGAUACUUUUGCACCUGUUACUAGGAUUUCCUCUAUUCGUGUAUUGCUAGCCUUAGCAUCUAUCCAUAAGUUAGUAAUUCACCAAAUGGAUGUUAAAACAGCUUUUCUGAAUGGUGAAUUAGAAAAGGAAAAAGUAUGCAAACUUUUAAAAUCUUUGUAUGGUUUGAAACAAGCACCAAAACAAUGGCAUGAAAAACUUGAUAAUAUUUUACUUUGUGAAGGUUUUUCUACCAAUGAUGCUGAUAAAUGUGUAUAUUCUAGAUCUGAAAAUGGUGAAUAUGUCAUUAUAUGUUUGUAUGUGGAUGACAUGCUAAUUUUUGGUACAUGCAAUGAUAUAGUUUUUCAAACAAAAUUGUUUCUUGGAUCUAAGUUUGAGAUGAAAGACAUGGGUGAAGCAAGUGUGAUUCUAGGAGUUAAAAUCAUAAGGAAGGGAGAUAGUAUAUUACUAUCCCAAGAAAAAUACACUGAGAAACUUCUAAAGAAGUUUGGUUACUAUGACUUUAAGUCAAUGAGUACCCCUUAUGAUGCUAACUCUAAAUUAAAGAAGAACAGAGGAGAAUCUAUUUUUCAAACUCAGUAUGCCCUGAUAAUUGGGAGCUUAUUGCAUUUAAUGAGCUUUUCUAGACCAGAUAUUGCUUAUGCAGUAGGUAGAUUGAGUAGAUACACUCAAUGUCCUAGUCAGGAUCAUUGGGAAGCACUUGCGAGACUCAUGAAAUACUUGAGAGGUACAAUGGAUUAUGCCAUUGAAUAUAGUGGAUUUCCCGCUGUGCUAGAAGGGUACAGUGAUGCUAACUGGAUCUCUGAUUCAGAUGAGACAAAAUCCACUAGUGGUUAUGUAUUUACACUUGGGGGUGGUGCAGUUACAUGGAGAUCAGCCAGGCAAACUAUUAUCGCAAGAUCAACAAUGGAAUCUGAGUUUGUUGCUCUAGAAAUGGCUGGUAGUGAAGCUGAGUGGUUGAAAAACUUCUUAGCAAACAUUCCUUUAGGAAUGAAACUAACCCCAUCUGUAUCAAUGCAUUGUGAUUGCCAAUCGGCAAUAGCUAUAGCUAAAAAUAAAAGCUAUAAUGGAAAGAAUAGACAUAUACAAUUGAGACACAAUUUGGUGAAACAGCUGUUAAAGAGUGGAACGAUUUCUAUUGACUAUGUCAAGUCAGAACGGAAUCUGGCAGAUCCUCUGACAAAACCCCUAGGGAGAAAAAUGAUUUUAGAAACAUCGAGGGGAAUGGGACUUAAGCCACUUGCAAACAAACAAGUGAUGGAAACCCAACCUUUGUGAUUGGAGAUCCCAUGAAUAAGGUUCAUAUGGGUAAAAACAAGUCACUUGUUAGUUCUGCUAGCACUAAUAUUGAUUUUAAUCAAUUUUGUCCAUUCCUAUGGUGUGUGUGAAAGUGCUAGAUACUGCAUUAUCGAGAGGAUAAACUUUGUGGUUAAAAUUCAGAAGUAAAAGAGUUUUAACGAUUUACAAAGUUUUAAUGAUUUUCAUAUCCCUUAUGGGUGGUGUGUGAUUUGCAGCAUACACUUGAUGAAAUCACCUAUAUGAGUGUCAAGUGGGGUCGCUUGCAUGAGAUCUUGGCAAGAUCUCUAUAGCACUCAUGAAUACCGGGCACGCGCAUGGCCUAUUAGCGCAACACAGCGAUAACAGCAAGUAAUGUGGGGGUGUAUUGUGAUUGAUAAACCUCUAACACAUACUAAGUGUCUUGGUUCAUAUAGCUUGCUAUACCAACUACACUAUGUGUUACGUUCAUUAAUCUAAGACUGGUUCAUAUAGCUUGCUAUACCAGAUCUGAUGCAUUACAUCUUAGAUGAACCCAAUUUUUUUUUCUUCUUAUCUCUAUGUUUUAUCUUUUGCAAUAUGUGGGGGAUUGUUGUAAAAACAGAGUAUUGCAAAAUAAAGUGCAGAAACAGAAAUAGAGGAUGCGCAGAAAAACCCUAACUCCUUCAUAGUGCCGUUGGAGGAAAUCUCGGAAGCAUGGGUGAAGUGGAGACAGUUUCCAAGUUGAAAAUCAAACAUUGCCCUUUCAACCUUGGAUCGUGGCCGCAUGAAUCGGAAGUUGGGCGCCUCCGCACUGUUGGAUUUUUGAACGUUGUAGAUCGUUACGAGAGGAGUGGGAGGUUGACUCCUUCCUUCACGCUGGCCUUCCCUCUUCUGCGGCGACAACCUUGAACCCACUAGGGUUUGAAGAGGCGGCACCCUUGGGGGUUCUCCAUCUAUAAAUACCGCUUUCCCCUCUUCAGAAAACGCAACUCUCACUACUUCAUCUUCUUCCUCCGCUCACCAUCUUCUUCUUUCCCCAAUUUCCACUUUUCACUUUCUCUCUCCUCUUUAUUUUAAUAUUAUAAUAUUUUUGGGUUCUAUUUGGUAUUACUCUUUUAAAGAGAAACUUGCUAGUUCUGAUCCUCGGAAAUUACCGGGAAGUUCCUGUUGUAUCCUGGGGGACUUGCGCAAUACAUCGCGGAUAAGUCCUUACGGACAGUGAUUACUCACGCCUUGGGAAACUAUUUUUUGUUCGUUUUAAAGCCUGAAUAUCUACAGAAACUACAAUACAUUUCGCAAAUUUGGUAUCUCACGUCUCUCUCGUUUGUAUCUUAUGUAAAUCUAUUUGUGAUUUUUCUCAUAUUUUGUUAUUAUACACAAUAUUGCUUACAACAUAUGGAAGUGGUCAUUUGAUGUCUAACGGGAAUGAAAAUGGAAAGAACCUAAUGGAAUGAACUUUAACCUAAGACAUAUGAGAGGAAUGUUAGGUACGUUUUAAACUAUUUUUAAUAUAACCAUUGAUAGUGGUGGUUUCACCAAUCUUGCUUCUAUCUUGUUCCCAUUCCAAAAAAGGAUUUUCGUCAUCCACUUUUGUUAAAUAGUUCUCCAACUGCUUUACAUCAUUUUUGGGUUUUUAAUUCUUGUGAGAGUUCAUGAGAAAUGAACUAAUUAGUACUUGUUCAGUACUUGAAAUGCAGAAUAGAGUAAACACGGCGCAACAAUAAAAGAAAAUAGAAAAGAAAAGAAGAAAGGAGAGAGAGACAAAGAGAGGAGGAAGAUGUUUGCUUUCUGUUUGUUUUAACUUUACAUUCUGUCUUAUGUUUCUAAGACGUGCUGAUAUACUUGGUUUGAUUCUCUGUUCACUCCACUCUCCCUUAAAUUCAUAGUUGUAUUAUUUUUUCUUGGUUAGUUUUCGUAAAUACAUUUAUCAGCAAGAAUACAUGACAUUUUGGUGCCAUGUUCAGGGUCAUAAUUUUGAGGAUCACGGUUGAUGCAUGUUUUUUACACCUUUUUUAUUAUUAUCAGCUUUUGGGAUUUUGAAAGUUUUGAAAGAAUAUAUUCUACAAUGGUUAAUAUUGUCGAUUUAUUAACUAUUCAACUAAUUGUUAAAAUUAUAAAAGGGAAAUAAUGAAUAAAAAAUGAGAAAAAUACAUUUCUUUUUAAUUUUUCUAUUUGUGAUUGUUCUAGUUUGUUAUUUGAUCUUCAGGUCACUGGUCAUAUAUCUUCUCUUGUGAAAAAGUUGAAGUUAGUUUUGGAUGGGUGAGUGUGCAAGUUCUGAAUUCUGAAAGUUCAAGUAUUAUCUCUCUCUUACAUAACCCCUAAAGUAAUAAACCCAUGUAAGUAUUGAGUAUCAAUUAGUCUAGUUGAUGUAUUUUAGUUAAUUUCAUAUUUGAACGGUUUUAUCAAAAUUCCUUAUAUUUCCCAUAAUUAAGAACGAAAUUUCAGUGUUUUCUUUCAUUCAACUAUACAUGUUUAAUUAUCUUUUUAUUUUCUCAAUGCUAAUGUACUGGCCAGACUUUAGACCUCGGCAUCAGACGUGACAUCGUACCUCGGUGGUCUGGCCGCGAUAAUGGGCCACGUAAGUGGACCCCAAAAAUAAUAAUGAGUUAUCAUCCAUAUAUAAGAAAGACCUAAAUCACGGGAGAGUUCAUGCAUGUGGUGUGUAUAGUACGCUCAGGUCUAGCACAA
rnacentral:lncRNA from 1 species